AUUGAACGCUGGCGGCAGGCCUAACACAUGCAAGUCGCACGAGUGUCGGACGGGUGCGUAAUGUCUGGGAAACUGCCCGAUGGAGGGAGGUAACUACUGGAAACGGUGGCUAAUACCGCAUACCAUCGGAUGUGCCCAGAUGGGAUUAGUUAGUAGGUGGGGUAAAGGCUCACCUAGGCGACGAGCCCUAGCUGGUCUGAGAGGAUGACCAGCCACCAGGGAACUUAUACACGGUCCAGACUCCUACGGUAGGCAGUAGUGGGGAAUAUUGCACAAUGGGCGCAAGCCUGAUUCAGCCAUGCCGCGUGUAUGAAGAAGGCCUUCGGGUUGUAAAGUACUUUCAGCGGGGAGGCGUUACCCGCAGAAGAAGCACCGGCUAACUCCGUGCCAGCAGCCGCGGUAAUAC
rnacentral:rRNA from 1 species